UAAUACAGUUCCGUAGGUGAACCUGCGGAAGGGAUCAUUACAGAGUUCAUGCCCGAAAGGGUAGACCUCCCACCCUUGUGUAUUAUUACUUUGUUGCUUUGGCGAGCUGCCUUCGGGCCUUGUAUGCUCGCCAGAGAAUACCAAAACUCUUUUUAUUAAUGUCGUCUGAGUACUAUAUAAUAGUUAAAACUUUCAACAACGGAUCUCUUGGUUCUGGCAUCGAUGAAGAACGCAGCGAAAUGCGAUAAGUAAUGUGAAUUGCAGAAUUCAGUGAAUCAUCGAAUCUUUGAACGCACAUUGCGCCCCUUGGUAUUCCGGGGGGCAUGCCUGUUCGAGCGUCAUUUCAACCCUCAAGCUUAGCUUGGUAUUGAGUCUAUGUCAGUAAUGGCAGGCUCUAAAAUCAGUGGCGGCGCCGCUGGGUCCUGAACGUAGUAAUAUCUCUCGUUACAGGUUCUCGGUGUGCUUCUGCCAAAACCCAAAUUUUUCUAUGGUUGACCUCGGAUCAGGUAGGGAUACCCGCUGAACUUAAGCAUAUCAAA
rnacentral:rRNA from 1 species